GAUGAACGCUGGCGGCGUGCUUAACACAUGCAAGUCGAACGGUGAAGGCGGAGCUUGCUCUGCUGGAUCAGUGGCGAACGGGUGAGUAACACGUGAGCAAUCUGCCCCUGACUCUGGGAUAAGCGCUGGAAACGGCGUCUAAUACUGGAUACGAGCUGCGAAGGCAUCUUCAGCAGCUGGAAAGAACUUCGGUCAGGGAUGAGCUCGCGGCCUAUCAGCUUGUUGGUGAGGUAACGGCUCACCAAGGCGUCGACGGGUAGCCGGCCUGAGAGGGUGACCGGCCACACUGGGACUGAGACACGGCCCAGACUCCUACGGGAGGCAGCAGUGGGGAAUAUUGCACAAUGGGCGAAAGCCUAAUGCAGCAACGCCGCGUGAGGGACGACGGCCUUCGGGUUGUAAACCUCUUUUAGCAGGGAAGAAGCGAAAGUGACGGUACCUGCAGAAAAAGCGCCGGCUAACUACGUG
rnacentral:rRNA from 1 species